rnacentral:rRNA from 1 species
AACGAACGCUGGCGGCAGGCCUAACACAUGCAAGUCGAACGCCCCGCAAGGGGAGUGGCGCACGGGUGAGUAACGCGGGGGAAUGUACCUUUUAGUUUGGGAUAACAGCGGGAAACUGCUGCUAAUACCGAAUACGCCCUUAGGGGGAAAGAUUUAUCGAUAAACGAUCAGCCCGCGUCAGAUUAGCUAGUUGGUGGGGUAAUGGCCUACCAAGGCUCCGAUCUGUAGCUGUUCUGAGAGGAAGAUCAGCCACACUGGAACUGAGACACGGUCCAGACUCCUACGGGAGGCAGCAGUGGGGAAUAUGGGACAAUGGGGGAAACCCUGAUCCAGCCAUGCCGCGUGAGUGAUGAAGGCCUUAGGGUUGUAAAGCUCUUUUAGCAGGGAAGAUGAUGACGGUACCUGCAGAAUAAGCACCGGCUAACUUCGUGCCAGCAGCCGCCGUAA